GAUGAACGCUGGCGGCGUGCCUAAUACAUGCAAGUCGAGCGAACGGACGAGAAGCUUGCUUCUCUGAUGUUAGCGGCGGACGGGUGAGUAACACGUGGAUAACCUACCUAUAAGACUGGGAUAACUUCGGGAAACCGGAGCUAAUACCGGAUAAUAUUUUGAACCGCAUGGUUCAAAAGUGAAAGACGGUCUUGCUGUCACUUAUAGAUGGAUCCGCGCUGCAUUAGCUAGUUGGUAAGGUAACGGCUUACCAAGGCAACGAUGCAUAGCCGACCUGAGAGGGUGAUCGGCCACACGGGAACUGAGACACGGGCCAGACUCCUACGGGAGGCAGCAGUAGGGAAUCUUCCGCAAUGGGCGAAAGCCUGACGGAGCAACGCCGCGUGAGUGAUGAAGGUCUUCGGAUCGUAAAACUCUGUUAUUAGGGAAGAACAUAUGUGUAAGUAACUGUGCACAUCUUGACGGUACCUAAUCAGAAAGCCACGGCUAACUACGUG
rnacentral:rRNA from 1 species